UUUCCGUAGGUGAACCUGCGGAAGGAUCAUUACAGAGUCCGCCUACUUGUAGGCACCUCUCACCCUUGAAUACAUACCUUUGUUGCUUUGGCGGGCCGCGAUUUUCGCGUUGGCCUUGGCUAACUGUGCCCGCCAGAGGACCCAAACUCUUUUGUUUAGUGAUGUCUGAGUACUAUAUAAUAGUUAAAACUUUCAACAACGGAUCUCUUGGUUCUGGCAUCGAUGAAGAACGCAGC
rnacentral:misc_RNA from 1 species